GACGAACGCUGGCGGCGUGCUUAACACAUGCAAGUCGAACGGAAAGGCCCUGCUUUUGUGGGGUGCUCGAGUGGCGAACGGGUGAGUAACACGUGAGUAACCUGCCCUUGACUUUGGGAUAACUUCAGGAAACUGGGGCUAAUACCGGAUAGGAGCUCCUGCUGCAUGGUGGGGGUUGGAAAGUUUCGGCGGUUGGGGAUGGACUCGCGGCUUAUCAGCUUGUUGGUGGGGUAGUGGCUUACCAAGGCUUUGACGGGUAGCCGGCCUGAGAGGGUGACCGGCCACAUGGGGACUGAGAUACGGCCCAGACGCCUACGGGGGGCAGGAGUGGGGAAUAUUGCACAAUGGGCGGAAGCCGGAUGCAGCAACGCCGCGUGCGGGAUGACGGCCUUCGGGUUGUAAACCGAUUUCGCCUGUGACGAAGCGUGAGUGACGGUAAUGGGUAAAGAAGCACCGGCUAACUACGU
rnacentral:rRNA from 1 species